GUUGAGUCAGGCAACGAGCGAGACCCACGUCCACAGUUGCCAGCAUACCCUCCCGGGGUGGAUGGGUACGACUGUGGAGACCGCCGCUGCUAAAGCGGAGGAAGGAGUGGGCAACGGUAGGUCAGUAUGCCCCGAAUCUCCCGGGCUACACGCGGGCUACAAUGGUUGGUACAAUGGGCAUCUACCCCGAAAGGGGAAGGAAAUCUCUUAAAGCCAAUCGUAGUUCGGAUUGAGGGCUGCAACUCGCCCUCAUGAAGCUGGAAUCCGUAGUAAUCGCGUUUCAACAGAACGCGGUGAAUACGUCCCUGCUCCUU
rnacentral:rRNA from 1 species